rnacentral:tRNA from 1 species
GGGCCCGUGGCAUAGACUGGUUAUUGCACCGCUCUGAUAAGGCGGGGGCCGGGUGUUCAAUCGGCUACGGAUUUCCCGUAUCGGGACAAAUCACCCCGGGCCCACCA